rnacentral:rRNA from 1 species
UACGUAGGGUGCGAGCGUUGUCCGGAAUUAUUGGGCGUAAAGAGCUUGUAGGCGGUUUGUCGCGUCUGCUGUGAAAAUCCGGGGCUCAACCCCGGACUUGCAGUGGGUACGGGCAGACUAGAGUGUGGUAGGGGAGACUGGAAUUCCUGGUGUAGCGGUGAAAUGCGCAGAUAUCAGGAGGAACACCGGUGGCGAAGGCGGGUCUCUGGGGCCGAUACUGACGUGAGGCACGAAAGCGUGGGGAGCAAACAGG